rnacentral:rRNA from 1 species
UCAGCGGCGGACGGGUGAGUAAUGCUUAGGAAUCUACCUAUUAAUGGGGGACAACAGUUGGAAACGGCUGCUAAUACCGCAUACGCCCUACGGGGGAAAGCAGGGGAUCUUCGGACCUUGCGUUAAUAGAUGAGCCUAAGUCAGAUUAGCUAGUUGGUGGGGUAAAGGCCUACCAAGGCGACGAUCUGUAGCGGGUCUGAGAGGAUGAUCCGCCACACUGGGACUGAGACACGGCCCAGACUCCUACGGGAGGCAGCAGUGGGGAAUAUUGGACAAUGGGGGGAACCCUGAUCCAGCCAUGCCGCGUGUGUGAAGAAGGCCUUUUGGUUGUAAAGCACUUUAAGCGAGGAGGAGGCUACCGAGAUUAAUACUCUUGGAUAGUGGACGUUACUCGCAGAAUAAGCACCGGCUAACUCUGUGCCAGCAGCCGCGGUAAUACAGAGGGUGCGAGCGUUAAUCGGAUUUACUGGGCGUAAAGCGUGCGUAGGUGGUCUUUUAAGUCGGAUGUGAAAUCCCUGAGCUUAACUUAGGAAUUGCAUUCGAUACUGGGAGACUAGAGUAUGGGAGAGGAUGGUAGAAUUCCAGGUGUAGCGGUGAAAUGCGUAGAGAUCUGGAGGAAUACCGAUGGCGAAGGCAGCCAUCUGGCCUAAUACUGACACUGAGGCACGAAAGCAUGGGGAGCAAACAGGAUUAGAUACCCU